AUUGAACGCUGGCGGCAGGCCUAACACAUGCAAGUCGAGCGGCAGCACGGGUACUUGUACCUGGUGGCGAGCGGCGGACGGGUGAGUAAUGCCUAGGAAUCUGCCUGGUAGUGGGGGACAACGUUUCGAAAGGAACGCUAAUACCGCAUACGUCCUACGGGGGAAAGCAGGGGACCUUCGGGCCUUGCGCUAUCAGAUGAGCCUAGGUCGGAUUAGCUAGUUGGUGAGGUAAUGGCUCACCAAGGCGACGAUCCGUAACUGGUCUGAGAGGAUGAUCAGUCACACUGGAACUGAGACACGGUCCAGACUCCUACGGGAGGCAGCAGUGGGGAAUAUUGGACAAUGGGCGAAAGCCUGAUCCAGCCAUGCCGCGUGUGUGAAGAAGGUCUUCGGAUUGUAAAGCACUUUAAGUUGGGAGGAAGGGUUGUAGAUUAAUAGUCUGCAAUUUUGACGUUACCGACAGAAUAAGCACCGGCUAACUCUGUGCCAGCCGCCGCAGUAACAC
rnacentral:rRNA from 1 species